UUGGUAAGGUAACGGCUUACCAAGGCGACGAUGUUUAGGGGACCUGAGAGGGUUGUCCCCCACACUGGUACUGAGACACGGACCAGACUCCUACGGGAGGCAGCAGUGAGGAAUAUUGGUCAAUGGGCGCAAGCCUGAACCAGCCAUCCCGCGUGAAGGAAGAAUGCGCUACGCGUUGUAAACUUCUUUUCCAGGGGGAGAAUAAUCCUGUCGUGACAGGACUUGACGGUACUCUGGGAAUAAGCAUCGGCUAACUCCGUGCCAGCAGCCGCGGUAAUACGGAGGAUGCGAGCGUUAUCCGGAUUUAUUGGGUUUAAAGGGUGCGUAGGCGGAUUGAUAAGUCAGUGGUGAAAUUCUACAGCUUAACUGUAGACUUGCCGUUGAUACUGUUAGUCUUGAGUGUGGUCAAGGCAGGCGGAAUGUGUAAUGUAGCGGUGAAAUGCUUAGAUAUUACACAGAACACCGAUUGCGAAGGCAGCUUGCUGGGUCAUUACUGACGCUGGUGCACGAAAGCGUGGGGAUCAAACAGGAUUAGAUACCCUGGUAGUCCACGCCGUAAACUAUGAUCACUCGCUGUUGGCGAUACACAGUCAGCGGCUAAGCAAAAGC
rnacentral:rRNA from 1 species